UUUGAAACGGCGAGAGUGUUGAGACGGCAAGAGUUUUGUCUUUUUCCAAUCGAAAUGUAUUGGUUUUGGAAACCUAUCCUAUAUUAAUUGGUUUAAGUAUGCUUAUGUAAUAUUCUUUAACAGAUGAUUCACUUCAUACCAGCGGUUAAACCGAGGAAUUUCAUAACACAAAAGUCUCUCUAUCCCCGGGUUCGAUAAGUGGUGGAUUCAAAAUCAAUUUUAAUUUUUUUUUGUGUUACAGUUUGGAGUUAAAUACAAUUAAAUGUAAUCCAUUAACAGAUGAUUCUUCUUUGCCUAGUGGCUAAAAUCCCACACUAUCCAAAUACGCAAACUCUCUCCCUCUGGG
rnacentral:lncRNA from 1 species